UACGGAGGGUGCAAGCGUUGUUCGGAUUUACUGGGCGUAAAGCGCGCGUAGGCGGACCUGCAAGUCGGGGGUGAAAGCCCGAGGCUCAACCUCGGAACUGCCUUCGAUACUGCGGGUCUCGAGUCCGGAAGAGGAGAAUGGAAUUCCCGGUGUAGCGGUGAAAUGCGCAGAUAUCGGGAAGAACACCCGUGGCGAAGGCGGUUCUCUGGGACGGUACUGACGCUGAGACGCGAAAGCGUGGGGAGCGAACAGG
rnacentral:rRNA from 1 species